rnacentral:tRNA from 1 species
CAGUAGCUCAACUGGACAGAGCAUCGGCCUUCUAAGCCGACGGUUGUGGGUUCGAGUCCCGCCUGAG